AGCCCUUUGUCGCUAAGA
rnacentral:snRNA from 1 species